GCUCUUCCGCCAUGAUUGUGAGGUCUCUCCAGCCACGUGGAACUGUUUCAUCAGCUUUUCAUGUUUCACUGGGGAGUGCAUCCUGAGAGGUCGUCACACUAUCAUCUUGGAAGUGAAUCUCUUACAUUUCAGUUUUAAAGGCUGUCUGGCAAGCGCCGCGCGCAUCCUCGGUUCCCGCCGCGCCGUUGCCGCCGCUCCUCUCCCUCCUCACCUCCCCGCAAGCUGAGGGAGCCGGCUCUGGCCUUGGCCAGCCCAGAAAGGGGCUCCCACAGUGCAGCGGUGAGCUGAAGGGUUCCUCAAGCGCGGCCAGAGUGGGCGCCAAGGCCGAGGAGGCGCCCAGAGCCAGCGAGGGCUGCCAGCAAGCUGUCACCUCUCAAUAGGAACUGGUACCAACCUACUUACGAAGAAGUAUUUGUUUUAACCUGAACCUGGGGGAAAAACAACAUGAACUGUUCGUCUAUCUAUAUCGUCAUUAUUUUUUACCUCAUGGAUUGAAACAAAUUUUAAAGGAAAAAAGAAUGUUAAGAAAGAGCAGCACUUACUAUCAGGGAGGCACCUCACGAGCAUUGUAAACACUCAGGAUCUUCCAGGUGCGUUUUUAUAAUGACACUCUAUCAAGCCACUGAGAUCAACUGCCAGAGCUCAAUCUGCUACAGGAAUCUUGCUAGAAGAGAAGAAUGUUUCAUCAGAGACAGUCAUUCAUCCUGGCCCACACCUCUCCUGCUCUGAUCUUCCACUGUUAAAAGCAUAACACACUGGAGGAAGAUUGUGCUAUAUUUCAUGCAUGCUCUGCGCCACCACCAAGGGACAGUCCCAUCUGUUAUUUGCUCUCAGCUUUGCUUACUGAUAAAACAGGAAGGACAGCUUGCUGAUGGGCUCUUUGAAGCAAAUGGAUCCUCUCUUUCCUGGAAUUAAUGUUUAUAAAUUAUUUCUACAGUAGACAGCAUGUAUGGUACCAUGAUUUCAAAAUUAGUUUCAAUAAAUUAAGGGCCUGCAUUCAUUACAAGAGGAGCUUGAUUACAAUGCAACUCAUGGAGUUUACUGUUGUGCUCUACCUUUUGUGAAAAUUGCUGCAUGAAAUUAAACACUCUCAUUAAUUCUGUUGAUUAUCUCGCUGCUUUCUGAAGGACAUGCCAAUCAUGCACAGCACUUACUAGAAACUGCAAGACUGCACAACAUGAUGGUAUUUAUUCCAGGAACAGGAGCCAGUCCUGGGCACACACAUAAAGGGACUUCCUUCACUCCCCAGAAGAAGAGAAAGCAUGCUGACACACAUCUGCCCAAGCAAUCAGAAGGCAGCUAAAGCCGCCACAGUCUUCACUCACCAACAGUUAGACCUUUUCAAUUGAUUUUAUUGAAGAAAGUGAGUGCUGAGCACCAUGAGUUCUCAUAAACAAUCCAUUUUGGCAAAUGCUUUAAGAAUGUUGGUUAAUUGCAGUUAGGCAGCAUCGACGUAUUUUAUUUUUUGGAAAGCAAGAAGCUGGCUUACCAACAUUAAGUUAAACAACAUGUAAGGGUUAGAAAUAUGAAUCAACAAACUAUUAGGGUGGUACCAUCUCUUUAUAAUAAAACAAUGUAGAUUGAUUAAGUAUAGCCUAAAAGUUUACCACAAAUCAUAACUACAUUUAAGCUUUGAAUUUCAUGACUAGUGAUUAAUUUUGCAUGUCAACUUGACUGAGCUUAUAGAAUGCCCAGGUAUCUGAUUAAACGUUAUUUCUGGAGGUGUCUGUGAGGGUGUUUCUGUAAGAGAUUAGCAUCUGAAGGCCAGGUGUGGUGGCUCAUGCCUGUAAUCCUAGUACUUUGGGAGGCCGAGGUGGGCAGAUUGCCUGAGCUCAGGAGUCUGAGACCAGCCUGGGCAACAUGGCAAAACACCGUCUGUACUAAAAAAUACAAAGUUUAGCCGGAUGUGGUGGCACACACCUGUAGUCCCAGCUACUAGGGAGGCUAAGGCAUGAGAAUUUCCUGAGCCUGCGAGGCGGAGGUUGUGGUAAGCCAAGAUUGUACUCCAGCCUGGGUGAUAAAGUGAGACCCUAUCUCAUAAAAAACAAAAAAACAAAAAAGAAAAAAGGAGAAGAAAGAGACACAGAUUAGCAUUUGAAUGGGUGGACUGAGUAAAGCAGAUGGCCCUCGUCAGUGUUGGUGGGAAUUGUCCUAUCCAUUGAGGGCUUAAAUGAAACAAAGACUGAGGAAGGCUGAAUUCAAUCUCUGCUGACUGCUGGGGCUGAGACAUCAAUCUUCUCCGGCUCUCAGUGCUCUUCCAGACUCAGACUGGAAUGUACACUAUCAGCUCUCCAGUUCUCAGGCCUUCAAAUUACACCUCUGGCUUUCCUGGGUCUCCAGCUUGCAGAUGGCAGAUCGUGGGACUUCAUGGGACUUCUCAGACUCCAUAACCAAGCAAGCCAUUUUACUUACUUUGGACUCAUUUUCUUAAUCCAAAAAUGGAAGUAAGGCUUGUCAUCUGUCUUAUUCAUAGUCACAGGGCUGAGGAGCUACAGUCUAAAUGCAUACGCAUGUUGGGAACCGAAGUCAGCCAUCUUCCCUAGGACAAAUCUUUACUCUUCUAAAGAAGGACAAGAAUAAGGUCUACUUUCAGCUAACCAUUUAUAAGGUUCAGUUUUCAUUGGAUCAAAGGAAUAUAAUCUAAUACUUUUUAAAUGGGGUCAAAACAGUAUUAUAAGGAAAAUAUUUACUGCAAAUAUUUAUAAUUGUGUAAGGAGAAUCAUUCUUUUUAAAAUCAAGUUGUGUUUUAGCUUUAGAAUCUUUUAAAAUCACAAGUAUUUGAGAAUCCAUCCCCACAAAAAUUAAAAAAUACUAUAUUAGUUAUUUUAAACAGUAUUCAUUACUUUUACUGUUUAUGUUAUAAUAAACUUAUGUAUAUAAACAUUUGAAUAUGCAUGGUACAAAGUACAAGUACAGAACAUGUAGUAAGUAGUAUGUGCAUGUAUGUGUGUGUGUGCAUAUCGUAUAAAAAUAUGAGAAAAAUUUUACUUAUAUAAAAACAUAUAUAUAAAUAAGUGUUCAGGAGAGUUUUUGAGAAUCUGCUUUACAUACUGCAAUUUUGAGUGAAAAUUAUGGAUAUUAAUUUCCUGAUUAAAGGAACUGUGUCUUCUCAUGAUGAGUCCUAAAAAUAAGCCAAAAUACUACUUAAUCUCCAUCACUUUUUUUCUUAAUAUUGAAAACACUUUUCACAGUAUAGACAUCUAUAGUGUGUAAAACCAUCUUUACAAAACCCAUAUAUACAGAAAAAUCUCAGUCUUCAAUUUGAAGGUUCUUUGCCGUGCUAACAUAUGUUGUAGAGAAUGACCACAUAGUAAUUGUCUAGUCUUUUCUCCUAACCCCAAUAGGAUUUGAAUGACUUUCAUCGUAAUGAAGGCUUCUGCAGAGUAAUUGAUUUUGACCAUGAGUACCUGUUGAAGUCACAGCAACUUCUCCUUCUAGAUUAUCUUACAGCAGUGGACCAGACAGCAGUGCUCAAGAGAGGCAAGUAUGUCUUUAAGGAAGCUUCCUGCUUGCCGGGGAAAGCUGCAGAGUAUGUGGCAUUCAACUGUCAUGUCUACAUCCAUGUUGAAAAAGUCUUUCGGCUUUAAGGAUAAUCAACCCGCGGUACUCUUUCUUUAAAUAAAGGUGUGUUAAUGAGUCUGCAUAAUGCUAUCAAACAAAAAGUGGUUCAAUACUGGCAUCCUGUGGCUGGAGAGAUUUAUCAAAUCUCUGAAAAUCUCAGCUCCUUGGAUUCUGAACAUUCCCUGGCUGUCAGUUCUCAGCAGCCUUUCACCAUUUUCCGAGUGCUAUUUGGUUACCUCUCAUUUUUCAUGGAAACAACCUAGGUAAAAUGCAUUUUGAUAGACUAUCAUUUUCACAGGGCUGAUCUACUCAUGCAUUAUCAGGGUAAAAAUAAAUGAUAAUAUAAAGGUUUUGGAAUUUUACCUAAUGAAAGAACAUGAUAUUAAAUCAUUGAACAAACUGCUCCAAGCAAAGGCUCUUGGUCUCUAAGUUCACAUUGAGUUUCUCUCUAACAAAAUGAUCAUAGAGUAGUUGGGAGAAGGGACAGGGCGCUGCUUCAGGAUUUUGUUGUUUGUGCGUCUGUGUGUGAGUGUUUUGUUUUGGCCAAAGGCUAAGAAAAUACUUCCUAUUGCAGCAAUAAAUAUUAUGAAUUUUCUUUAUUUUACUACAAGAAUGCUGCCUCAGAGAAAAAUCAAACAAAAUUACGGAGGACUGUUGCUUUUUGCUACUCACUUUCAAGGCAGCUAUAAAGAUAAAGAGUUACAAUGAUCGCAGUUUAAAAGCAGAAUUGCCAUGCUCCCUGGUAAGACUUAAUGGCAUUUUUGAGAACCAAAUAACCAUUAUGGGACUACUCCAUUGCUGCUAGUUUCACAAAUGGCUAACACUAAAUUUGGAGGCCUUGGAAAUGUUCAAAACAUCAUUAGAGAUAGAAAAAUAGCAACAAACUUUAAAAUUACAUGAACACCAAAAGACAUCAAUGAAGGAUCAAGCAUGAAAACCGCUUGUUGAGAUGAACUGACAAAGAAAUAAUACAAAGUACACACGUGCUUGUUAGCAAGAGGAAAGAACUAUUAGAGUUGGCUGACUCCAAACAGGAGGAACAAAAUGCCUGCUAAAGUGGGAUCGAACAAUGGCUUUGCUCUUUCAUCAUGCUCCCUUUCUUCUAGUCUAACUCUAGGACCACCAGCUCUUUCUUCCUCAAUUCUCUUAAUUUUCUGUGCUGCUCAGGGGUUUUAACUGUCUUGGUUAGUAUGGGAGACAGACAGAUUUCACAGCGAUGAGUGCUAAUCUAUCCUAAAUGUUAGCAAUGAAUAAAGCAACCCUAAUGGUAAAUGGUAUUUAAUAAGAUCCCUUUUCCCUCAGAACAGGCUCUAUAUUUAGUGUCUAGAACACAGAAAACUUAAAAAUAUUCCACAGAAAGCUAGUGUGAUCUGAGAAGAAAUAGAGAUUAAAUACUCAGUUAAGGCAAUCAGUGUGCCUGUGUCAGCCAUAAAGCACCUCAUUUGUAUAGUAACAUUUCUUUGGGGAAACAAAAUCCAGAUAUAAAUAUUAGUAUAAGAUCUAAAGAUGCAAAAUUCCAAUUGAAUGCUAAUAAAAGGUAUUAAUAAAACUCUGCUUUAAAGGACUGACUUCUCAAUGAGUCUGCACAGCACACUAGAGAUUCAAUAUGCAUAUCAAGGUUUUUGGUUGUUUGUUUUUUUAGUAACACUGGCAUUAUUUAUUAAUAAUUUAACCAGAAAUCUCCCCAAACUUUUAACUGGAAUUUAAAAAAUUAAUUAUGGUAAAGUAAGUAAAUUAAAACAAAGAAAAAGUAUGAAAGCUAUGUUCUAAACUCACCACAUUCACCAGCGAGAAUAGAUCUGCCCUUCUGGCUAUAUUUGUUACCUACCUAUCUCUCUCUCUCUCUCUGUCUCUCUCUCUCCCUCUCUCUCUCUGUCUCUCUCUUUCCCUCUCUCUCUCUCUCUCUCCGCCCCCCCCACUUCCACAAGGGAUCCAGUCUAGAAAGAGCAUGAACUUAGAAGUCCAGCAGAUGUGGGUUCAAUUCCUAGUUCUAUGGUUUAAAAUACAUACACUCAAAAAUAAAUUCUCCAUUUUCCUGAGCUCUGGUGUUCUCAUCUGGACUUGGGAAUAAUAGCACCUCACACAUCAACCUUGUUGAGGAUUGCUUGAGAUGAUCAUGUAGGGGAGAGGACUCAGGAGAGCCUCUGACAGAGAGAUAUGCUUUCAACACAGGCUAUUCAUAAGCACCCUUCCUACCUAGUCAUCUACUAUGUUUUCUCCUCCCCCAGUUUAACUGGUCACCAAGUCUUGCUGAUUUUUCCUUUUAGUAUGUUUCACUUUCUCUCAGACCCUGCUGAUACUGCCUGUCUUCAGAAUCCCCCUCAAUUCUCAUCAGGAUUGCUGCAGUAACCACCAAAGUCAAUAUUCUGUCUUCAGCCCCAACCUAUCUUAAUCCAUCCUCAUAACCCCCAGGGUGAUUCUCCUAAAAUAUAAAACUGCCUGAGUUUGACUUUCAGCUAUUCUACUUUAUAUCUGUAUGACUUGGAACAAGUGACCUGAAUUCUCUCAUGCUAUAAUUCAAAGCCUAUUAACUGGGGAUAAUAAUUUUCCUACCUCAGUAGGAUAUUAUAUGAAUUAAAUAAAGUCUUGUUCCUCUCCCU
rnacentral:lncRNA from 10 species